rnacentral:precursor_RNA from 1 species
GAGUGAGAAGUACAGUGCCGCUGGUUAUGGCAUGAGAAGGUGAGUGUUGAGCAAGAUGGAGAAGCAGGGCACGUGCAUUACUAACUCAUGCACAAGCACAUUUUCUUGCUGGAGUUAUAACUCUCACCUAUUAUAAGGUCUUGUUAGCUCCAUUGAGUUGGUUCUUCAUGUGCCCGUCUUCCCCAUCAUGACCACUCUACCUUAUAACCAUUCAAUUGCAAUACCAACGACCACCUGUUAAUUUUCGGUAGCAGCCAUCGUCGAUUCAUGCAAGCAAUUGAAAUCGUUGAAGCUCCAUUUUCAGGUGAGUCUAUGAUUGCCCACCACCAUAUAAGAAAUGAAUUUGCUUAUCAAUUUCUCAAGUAUCAUUUGGUUAGCAAUUUCCGUUCCACAUAUUUUCUUGCUUUUGAAAGCAAAGGUCGCGUUGUUUUUUUCAUAGCUCUUAACAAAAGGAAGAAAGUAGUUUCAAAAACCCUAAUCAAACAGUUCCUUCAAGUAUUUUAAAUCAUAGUAUUCUUUCAAGUUUCAAAACUCAAGUCAUAAUAUCAUACAAGGAUAAUUAUCAAGAAAAUAUAAUAUGAUAAUUUAAGGGAUAAUGAUGGAGAAAAUAUGUCAAAGAACCAGUAUCGUUUUUCAACAAUGUCAUGGCAAAGACCGUGGACUGGAUUAGUGUCAUAAUUAAACCACGUGGACUUCUAAUUAAGAGGAUGAUGUAUAGAGACUAGUCAUCAUCAUGCCGGAAAGUUUGAUUUUUUUAGAUUUUUUUUUCUUUUGUUGAAUAAUUCAAUUUCAGAAUUUGAACCCCCCCAACCCACCACAAACCUAGCUUAUCUAAACCAGACUAAUUUUGAUGUGGCAAACUCAAAAUAGUAUGCAAAGAUUAGGUCUGACAAUACGUAAUUAAAUUGUGAAGAUGGAAAAGAGUUCAUGCAAGUGAUUUUCCGGCCAAAUGGUUAAAAAGAACAAGGUUUAACUUGAUGCAUUGAAAAGCUCACACGAUUAAAUUGACAAAAGACCAAAAAAUAGAUCGAAAAUCUUAAGCUAUGUGCAACGCCUUAAUGACUAGAUUUUUUACUGACUAGUAUUAUGAUCUUUGGUUUGAAUAUAAUUAAAAAUUAUUUCUUUCUUCUCUACCUGUAACUGUUUGGUUCUUCUCUAGUUUUCAGUACUUCCUCAGGCAUGUUUUUGAAAGGUGAAGUUUAGCCCUCUCCAGCUAUUUAUCAUGUUCUUUGAUGGAUCCAUUAAUAAUAAAAAAUUUCGUUUUCAGAAUAAUUUUUGAAUUACCAUGAUCGUUUUCAAAUCAGUGGAUUGGGAUUAGAAAACUUGCAAAAAAAACCUAUUCUAAUUUUAAUUAAUUAUUUAUUUUGUUGC